GAGGAAUAUUGGUCAAUGGACGAGAGUCUGAACCAGCCAAGUAGCGUGAAGGAUGACUGCCCUAUGGGUUGUAAACUUCUUUUAUACGGGAAUAAAGUGGAGUAUGCAUACUCCUUUGUAUGUACCGUAUGAAUAAGGAUCGGCUAACUCCGUGCCAGCAGCCGCGGUAAUACGGAGGAUCCGAGCGUUAUCCGGAUUUAUUGGGUUUAAAGGGAGCGUAGGCGGGUGCUUAAGUCAGUCGUGAAAGUUUGCGGCUCAACCGUAAAAUUGCAGUUGAUACUGGGCGCCUUGAGUGCAGCAUAGGUAGGCGUAAUUCGUGGUGUAGCGGUGAAAUGCUUAGAUAUCACGAAGAACUCCGAUUGCGAAGGCAGCUUACUGGACUGUAACUGACGCUGAUGCUCGAAAGUGUGGGUAUCAAAC
rnacentral:rRNA from 1 species